UAUCUCUCACACACUAACACCUAGAACACACACUCACACGCAUAAUACCAUUUUAGCUUGAGCUCAAGCUUUUGAGCUCCGAUUUGAGCACCGAGACGAGCACCGAUCAUCUUUUCAAUCACGUAUCUAAGUAGGUCCUUUUGGGAAGUAACGACUUGAGGGAGAGAGUGACGUUACUCAUUGAUACAGAGACACAACGAGGUUGAGCUGAUGUGAUGAUGGUGCUGCAAUGAGCGGAGUCUCCAGGGUUGUUAAUAAAUAGUUAACCUGUCUAGAAUAUGUCUUCAUACAUAUGUCUAGCUACUUUCCGCUGCAAGAUGUUGUUGAUGUUAUAGUAUGUUAUGUCAUACUUUGAGUCUUAAGAGAAUGGUUUCAUAUGAUGUAUAACUUGAUUAAUGAUAUUAAUUAAGUUUUAUGUUGUCUUUCA